rnacentral:rRNA from 1 species
UGAGUAACCUGCCCUUCACUCUGGGAUAACUCCGGGAAACCGGGGCUAAUACUGGAUAUGACUCGAACAGGCAUCUGUUUCGGGUGGAAAGAUUUUAUUGGUGGAGGAUGGACUCGCGGCCUAUCAGCUUUGUUGGUGAGGUAAUGGCUCACCAAGGCGACGACGGGUAGCCGGCCUGAGGAGGGGCGAUCGGCCACACUGGGACUGAGACACGGCCCAGACUUCCGAGGGNGCAGCA